rnacentral:RNase_P_RNA from 1 species
GCAGGUGGAAUGUGGCCACCCUUGACAUCAAAAAUGUCAAGGGAGGAAAGUCCGGGCUCCGAAGGAUAACGUAGUAGGAUAAUCUCCUACCCGUCUGGCGUAAGCUGGAUGAGGAUAUCCGCCACAAGGCGUGGCGGAUCCCGCCAAGUAUUUUGGCGGGAGAGCCACAGAGACGAGCACAGGCGAAUGGUUAUGAGAAGAUCCUUCGCCCCGCCUUGGCGGGGCUCAGGAUCAUCUCGUAGCCUUCGGCUACGAGAUGAAACGCGGCAAUCUCUACGCGGAGCAAGGCGAAUAGUCCCGCCUAUUUUAUUCUUGGGGUAUAGGGAAGUAUAAACUACCCACUACGAAAAUCGCAGUAAGUUAUUGUCGAAGGCGAUUUUCUUGAUAAAAGGAUAAAAAUAAGGGUGAUCCGUCCGAAUACGGCGGGAGGGUAUUAAGCUGCUAGAGCCCCAGCGUUACGCCGGGGUCGAGAGGAAUGGCCACAACCACGGAUUUCACGGAUAUAACACAGAUUCCACUAAUUAAAGAAAUUAUCCGUGUAGUUUGUGGUUACAGAACCCGGCUUAUUCCGCCUGUCUUU